CUGGGUCAGAAGAACUUCAGAUUGAGCCUCUUGAAACAUUUGCUCUUGGAAUUCUCCCUCUCAGGAAACUAACAGCCUGCUAUGAAGCCCAAGCCACAAAGAGAGGCCAAGGGGAAAUAAACAGAGUGUGAUUAUAUGCAAAACCUACAAGAAUGAGGACCUCCAAACUCAGUGUACAGAGUGAUUUUCUGCUGAAACAAUUGGAAAAUAAAAGAGACAUCAGUGUGUGAAUGACGACUUUCUGUUGCUGACUUGGAAGACAGAGGAAUUGGGUCAUGAGCCGAGGAAGGUGGGCAGCUUCUAAAAGGCGGAAAAGGCAGGGGAUGGCUCUGGCAGAGAAUCACUCCUGAGUACAACUUUCUGGCGGAAGCUCUAUCACAAGACCUGCAUAUGAGAACUGCAGCUAAAGGUCAAGGCUUCCUGAAACAGCUUCAGUAAACAUUCUUAAAGUUAUACAAGAUGUAUACAGAAAAUUACAUUAAAUACCUGUCUCCAGCCUGCUUCAUGUAUUUCUGCAAUGACUAAAGAUGCAUGUUCAGUUUUGGAGGAAUCUUGGGCAACCUUCAGAAAAGAAGAGCGGCAUUGAAUUAAAUGGACUAUAAAAGGAAAUCUUUCAGCUGAAGUAUUCUGACAGCAGCAUAUUCUUGCCAACCAGGUCGUUCCAAAUGUGUAUCUGACCAUUAUUUUAAAUUAGAAGAUAUACCACUGUCAAACCAUAUCAGCCAAGAAUAAAAAGUGAC
rnacentral:lncRNA from 1 species